rnacentral:rRNA from 1 species
AGCCGCCGCGGGAACACCGGCGGCCCGAGUGGUGAUCGUGAUUAUUGGGUCUAAAGGGUCCGUAGCCGGUUUGGUCAGUCCUCCGGGAAAUCUGAUAGCUCAACUAUUAGGCUUUCGGGGGAUACUGCCAGACUUGGAACCGGGAGAGGUAAGAGGUACUACAGGGGUAGGAGUGAAAUCUUGUAAUCCCUGUGGGACCACCUGUGGCGAAGGCGUCUUACCAGAACGGGUUCGACGGUGAGGGACGAAAGCUGGGGGCACGAACCGGAUUAGAUACCCGGGUAGUCCCAGCCGUAAACGAUGCUCGCUAGGUGUCAGGCAUGGCGCGACCGUGUCUGGUGCCGCAGGGAAGCCGUGAAGCGAGCCACCUGGGAAGUACGGCCGCAAGGCUGAAACUUAAAGGAAUUGGCGGGGGAGCACAACAACGGGUGGAGCCCUGCGGUUUAAUUGGACUCAACGCCGGACAACUCACCGGGGGCGACAGCAAUAUGUAGGCCAAGCUGAAGACUUUGCCUGAAUCGCUGAGAGGAGGUGCAUGG